rnacentral:other from 4 species
UAUCCCCUGCGGUGCUCGUGACGGCACACAAUUCCUUUGUACCAAUGCGUUCGCUUCUGGCUGCCAGCGUGAGACAUGGGCGUGCCGCGUUCCAUUUGAGAACGCGCCCGAAAUGUCUGGCAGGCGGCCCAUCCUGGAAACAGGGUACAAGCGAAUUUAGCCCGAACGGCACUCGCGGGGGUCUC